UUGACCUCGAAUCAGGUACGGAUACCCGCUGAACUUA
rnacentral:rRNA from 1 species